GAUGAACGCUGGCGGCGUGCCUAAUACAUGCAAGUCGAGCGAACGGACGAGAAGCUUGCUUCUCUGAUGUUAGCGGCGGACGGGUGAGUAACACGUGGAUAACCUACCUAUAAGACUGGGAUAACUUCGGGAAACCGGAGCUAAUACCGGAUAAUAUUUUGAACCGCAUGGUUCAAAAGUGAAAGACGGUCUUGCUGUCACUUAUAGAUGGAUCCGCGCUGCAUUAGCUAGUUGGUAAGGUAACGGCUUACCAAGGCAACGAUGCAUAGCCGACCUGAGAGGUGGAUCGGCCACACGGGACCUAGGACACGUCCAGACUCCUACGGGAGGCAGCAGUAGGGAAUCUUCCGCAAUGGGCGAAAGCCUGACGGAGCAACGCCGCGUGAGUGAUGAAGGUCUUCGGAUCGUAAAACUCUGUUAUUAGGGAAGAACAUAUGUGUAAGUAACUGUGCACAUCUUGACGGUACCUAAUCAGAAAGCCACGGCUAACUACGUG
rnacentral:rRNA from 1 species